GAUGAACGCUAGCGGCAGGCUUAACACAUGCAAGUCGAGGGGUAUAGGUAGCUUGCUAUCUAGAGACCGGCGCACGGGUGCGUAACGCGUAUGCAAUCUACCUUUUACAGGGGAGUAGCCCAGAGAAAUUUGGAUUAAUGCCCCAUAGUAUAUUUGAAUGGCAUCAUUUGAUUAUUAAAGAUUUAUCGGUAAAAGAUGAG
rnacentral:rRNA from 1 species